rnacentral:rRNA from 1 species
AGAAUCAACGCUGGCGGCGUGCCUAACACAUGCAAGUCGAACGAGAAAGUGGAGCAAUCCAUGAGUAAAGUGGCGACCGGGUGAGUAACACGUGACUAACCUACCUUUGAGUGGGGGAUAACAUCGGGAAACCGAUGCUAAUACCGCAUAACAUCGCAAGAUCAAAGCAGCAAUGCGCUUAAAAGAGGGGGUCGCGGCUGAUUAGCUAGUUGGCGGGGUAACGCCCACAAGGCGAAGAUCGGUA